rnacentral:rRNA from 1 species
GACGAACGCUGGCGGCGUGCUUAACACAUGCAAGUCGAACGGUGAAGCGCCUUCCUUUUUGGUGGGUGUGGAUGAGUGGCGAACGGGUGAGUAACACGUGAGUAACCUGCCCCCUUCUUCUGGAUAACCGCAUGAAAGUGUGGCUAAUACGGGAUAUUCUGGGUCUGUCGCAUGAUGGGUCUGGGAAAGAUAUUGUUUCGGUGGGGGAUGGGCUCGCGGCCUAUCAGCUUGUUGGUGGGGUGAUGGCCUACCAAGGCGGCGACGGGUAGCCGGCCUGAGAGGGUGGACGGUCACACUGGGACUGAGACACGGCCCAGACUCCUACGGGAGGCAGCAGUGGGGAAUAUUGCACAAUGGGCGCAAGCCUGAUGCAGCGACGCCGCGUGAGGGAUGGAGGCCUUCGGGUUGUGAACCCCUUUCGCCAGUGAAGCAGGCCUGCCUCGUUUGUGGGUGGGUUGACGGUAGCUGGAGAAGAAGCGCCGGCUAACUACGUG